CGGCGGACGGGUGAGUAACGCGUGGGGAACCUGCCCUAUACAGGGGGAUAACAGUUAGAAAUGACUGCUAAUACCGCAUAAGCGCACGGAGCCGCAUGGCCCUGAGUGAAAAACGAUAGUGGUAUAGGAGGGACCCGCGUCUGAUUAGGUAGUUGGUGGGGUAACGGCUCACCAAGGCGACGAUCAGUAGCCGGACUGAGAGGUUGGCCGGCCACAUUGGGACUGAGAUACGGCCCAGACUCCUACGGAAGGCAGCAG
rnacentral:rRNA from 1 species